UUCAGAAUCCAGUUCGUCAACCGUUACUACGUGAACCACCUAGAGACUUGGGAGAAUUAUAUGAAGGGGACGACGCCAGAUCAAAUUUGUCUCAGACACAUUUGAAAGUAUAAUGCGGCAGAUGCGACCAGCCAUGGAUCUUUGAAUGGAAUAGAGAUUUGAGACCUUUCUGACAAUUCCGGGAAAUGAGAGACACGUAGGGAGACGCAAAAAACAAUGGUCGAUGGUGAUGGUUACGAGAUAUGCAAAGAUAAUGGUGAAUGGAAUUGAUCGAGGGUGCAAGUGGAAUUGGUUUGUAGACGUAAAAAUGGUCUGAAAAGACAUGUAUAUGGUGUGUUCGCCUACAAGUGCAACGAAGUUAUUAGAGAUUUUCUACAAAAUCCAUAAUCAUAGUUAGUUUUUGGGUGUUGUGGCCUGUAUGUAAUUUAAGUAAAACGUUUUUCUGUGUUCAUACGUUCAGUUGAUUGUAUUCCUAAAGCUUUUGUGGACUCCAAAAUGUGGUGUUUUUGGAGUUGG